UACGUAGGGUGCAAGCGUUAUCCGGAAUUAUUGGGCGUAAAGAGCUCGUAGGCGGUUUGUCGCGUCUGCUGUGAAAACUGGAGGCUCAACCUCCAGCCUGCAGUGGGUACGGGCAGACUAGAGUGCGGUAGGGGAGAUUGGAAUUCCUGGUGUAGCGGUGGAAUGCGCAGAUAUCAGGAGGAACACCAAUGGCGAAGGCAGAUCUCUGGGCCGUAACUGACGCUGAGGAGCGAAAGCCAGGGGAGCAAACGGG
rnacentral:rRNA from 1 species